UACGUAGGGUGCGAGCGUUAAUCGGAAUACUGGGCGUAAAGCGUGCGCAGGCGGUUUUGUAAGCCAGGUGUGAAAUCCCCCGGGCUCAACCUGGGAAUGGCAUUUGGGACUGCAAGGCUGGAGUGCGGCAGAGGAGACUGGAAUUCCUGGUGUAGCAGUGAAAUGCGUAGAUAUCAGGAGGAACACCGGUGGCGAAGGCGGGUCUCUGGGCCGUAACUGACGCUGAGGAGCGAAAGCAUGGGGAGCGAACAGG
rnacentral:rRNA from 1 species